rnacentral:rRNA from 1 species
GUCCACGCCGUAAACGAUGGAUACUAGCUGUUGGAGGUAUCGACCCCNUUCAGUAGCGAAGCUAACGCGUUAAGUAUCCCGCCUGUGGAGUACGGCCGCAAGGCUAAAACAUAAAGGAAUUGACGGGGACCCGCACAAGCGGUGGAUUAUGUUCUUUAAUUCGAUGAUAACCGAAGAACCUUACCAGGGCUUGACAUCCAGGGAAGGUCUGCGAAAGUAGACUGUGCCUUUUGGAACCCUGUGACAGGUGAUGCAUGGCCGUCGUCAGCUCGUGUCGUGAGAUGUUAGGUUAAGUCCUUCAACGAGCGCAACCCUUGUGAAUAGUUGUAUUUUUCUAUUCAGACUGCCCCGGUAACGGGGAGGAAGGAGGGGAUGAUGUCAGGUCAGUAUUUCCCUUACGUCCUGGGCUAGAAACGUAAUACAAUGGCUAGUACAAUGCGCANGCGAAGCCGCGAGGUGAAGCAAAUCGCAUCAAAGCUAGUCCCAGUUCGGAUUGUAGGCUGAAACUCGCCUGCAUGAAGUCGGAAUCGCUAGUAAUCGCAAAUCAGCAAGUUGCGGUGAAUACGUUCCCGGGUCUUGUACACACCNGCCCGUCAAACCAUGAAAGUGACCAACACCCGAAGUCCGAUUCGUCGGCCUAAGGUGGGGGGCAUGAUUGGGGUU